rnacentral:rRNA from 1 species
UACAGAGGAGCCAAGCGUUGUCCGGAUUGACUGGGCGUAAAGCGCACGCAGGCGGACGCGCGCGUGGGGUGUGAAAUCUGGCCGCUUAACGGCCAGGCGCCCAUCCCAUACGGCGGGUCUGGAGUGAUGCAGAGGGCGGUGGAAUUGCCGGUGUAGUGGUGAAAUGCGUAGAGAUCGGCAGGAACACCCAGGGGGAAACCAGCCGCCUGGGCAUCGACUGACGCUGAGACGCGAAAGCGUGGGGAGCAAACAGGG